rnacentral:rRNA from 1 species
GGUUAAGCGACUAAGCGUACACGGUGGAUGCCCUGGCAGUCAGAGGCGAUGAAGGACGUGCUAAUCUGCGAUAAGCGUCGGUGAGGUGAUAUGAACCGUUAUAACCGGCGAUUUCCGAAUGGGGAAACCCAGUGUGUUUCGACACACUAUCAUUAACUGAAUCCAUAGGUUAAUGAGGCGAACCGGGGGAACUGAAACAUCUAAGUACCCCGAGGAAAAGAAAUCAACCGAGAUUCCCCCAGUAGCGGCGAGCGAACGGGGAGGAGCCCAGAGC